rnacentral:rRNA from 1 species
UACGGAGGGAGCUAGCGUUAUUCGGAAUUACUGGGCGUAAAGCGCACGUAGGCGGCUUUGUAAGUUAGAGGUGAAAUGCCUGGAGCUCAACUCCAGAAUUGCCUUUAAGACUGCAUCGCUUGAAUCCAGGAGAGGUGAGCGGAAUUCCGAGUGUAGAGGUGAAAUUCGUAGAUAUUCGGAAGAACACCAGUGGCGAAGGCGGCUCACUGGACUGGUAUUGACGCUGAGGUGCAAAAGCGUGGGGAGCAAACAGG